rnacentral:rRNA from 1 species
UUCCUACGGGGGCAGCAGCGAGGAAUAUUGGUCAAUGGGCGGAAGCCUGAACCAGCCAAGUCGCGUGAGGGAAUAAGGCCCUACGGGUCGUAAACCUCUUUUGCCGGGGAGCAAGGGCGGGGACGUGUCCCGGCCCGGAGAGUACCCGGAGAAAAAGCAUCGGCUAACUCCGUGCCAGCAGCCGCGGUAAUACGGAGGAUCCAAGCGUUAUCCGGAUUUAUUGGGUUUAAAGGGUGCGUAGGCGGAUUGAUAAGUUAGAGGUGAAAUGUCCGAGCUCAACUCGGGAACUGCCUCUAAUACUGUUG